UAUCUAUAUCUAUAUCUAUAUCUAUAUCUAUAUCUAUAUAUCUAUAUUUCUUUAUUUUCCCUUUAGAAGAGUCUACCAGUGUUGAGAAAAUCUCUCUUGAACAGCCAGCACCCUGUUCCCCACGGACAGCAGCCACUUCAGCUACUGAAAGUUAUACCUCAUGCUGCCUUUGGGAAUAUUCCCUUUGCUGUCACGAACAAGAUUAUGGGACCAAGGUAACCCAACAAUAUAGGCUCAGCCAUCAGAUCAAGUGCAGCCCAGCCUCCUCUGGUGAAGGUGGCACAGUUACACCAGAGUUCUCAACUGAGUCGCUUAAGGCAAGAAGACCCAGAGCAAGCAAGACUGAAACAAAAAGCAAAGGAGGUAAGCAGAGCUGGAGAUCAUUACAUUUGACAUUUCAAGGCUUGAACCUAUUAAUUUUUUAUGCCUCGCUACUUGUAUAUCAUUAAUAAAAAUCUGACUAAAAA
rnacentral:lncRNA from 1 species